rnacentral:rRNA from 1 species
UACGUAGGGGGCAAGCGUUGUCCGGAUUUAUUGGGCGUAAAGAGCGUGUAGGCGGCCACACAGGUCUGCUGUGAAAACUCGAGGCUCAACCUCGAGCUGUCGGUGGAAACCGUGUGGCUAGAGUCCGGAAGAGGAGAGUGGAAUUCCCGGUGUAGCGGUGAAAUGCGCAGAUAUCGGGAAGAACACCCGUGGCCGAAGGCGGCUACUCGUGGGACGGUACUGGACGGCUGAG